rnacentral:lncRNA from 10 species
GUGAAUGGCCCCUACUGAGAGAGGCUGCAACAUCAGGUGGGAAAGGCUGGGGGCCAGGCAGGGCUUAGUGCAGGGGCUGGAGCAUGCAGUCUGCAGGGUGGACCCUGAAGGAGGAUGGAGCCUCUCUCUGGGUCAGGCUCUGUGACCUUGCCUUCCACCUUCUCAACUGCAGUGUCUGUAAACCUCUUCCAAGUGUGACUUCCCAAAGCUUGCAAUCCAUUGCUCCCUCCUUUCUUCUUCCUUCCUUCUUCCUCCUACUCUUUCUUCCUUCCUCCAUUCCUCCUUCCUUCUCUUCUUCUCCCUCUCCCUCCCUCAUUCCUUUGCCCUGCUCCAUCCCAGGGCAUUAGUGUACUUAUUGUGGCUAGUGGUGAGUGGGAAGACAUUGCUGGGUUAAUAGCUGUAAUUGUUGACUCAUGGACAAUCAAUCGCCCCAGCAAGUCCACAGUCCUGAGUGACUGCAAAGAGCAGCAGUGACCGCUAGGCUUGGCCAGCAGCAGAUGGUCCUCUCCUCUCACGUAACCUGGGAGGUAGGACCGGAGGGGCUUCUUGGAUGAAAAAAGGGCAGGCAGUCCACUCUGGGCUCAGGGCAGGGUGGCUGGAUUUAGCAUUUUAUCUGGCAACCUCAUCUUAAGGCCUAGGAGGCUGCAGCCUAAAGGUCCACUUGACAAUUCCAUCUUUUCCUCCAUGGUUAGCUUUGCUCCCUGCCUGGGGACGGGACCUAGAAGCUCCUCAGCCCUUGUGUCCUCCACCGCUCCAUGCCCAACCUCACUACUCUAGGGCAGAGUGAGCAGGUGCUUCAGGAGGGCAGGGGUUCCUGUGUCCUCUUUUCUUCUUUGUGGCUGUAGUUCCUGCAUCCAGAGGGUUGUCCCCCGUGGCAGUCACCCAGCAGAUAUUUGCUGAAUGGAUGACUGAAGCAUCUCUGAUGGUGCCCGUUCUCUCAGCUCUCUGCCUCUGUCCAGCACCUGCUCCUUUCCUGACUGGAUCAUUCCAACAGGAAUGGGCCCCAGCCUAUGGACACAUAGAAUUUUGUGUUGCCACUUUUCCUUUUGGCAUUUUAAAGGUGUUCUUCUGUUGAAUUGCCUCCAUAGUUUCUGGUAGAUGUCUACAGUAAUUGAAAUUAUUUUUUCUAUGUCUGUGACUUAUUUUUUAAUCUCCGAUUGCCUUUAAGAUUUUUGUUUCAUCUUUGUUUUUAGCAGUUUGAUUAUUAUGUGCCUGGC